rnacentral:rRNA from 1 species
CAUGCAAGUCGAGCGGCAGCACGGGAGCUUGCUCCUGGUGGCGAGCGGCGGACGGGUGAGUAAUGCCUAGGAAUCUGCCUGAUAGUGGGGGAUAACGUUCGGAAACGGACGCUAAUACCGCAUACGUCCUACGGGAGAAAGUGGGGGACCUUCGGGCCUCACGCUAUCAGAUGAGCCUAGGUCGGAUUAGCUAGUUGGUGGGGUAAUGGCUCACCAAGGCGACGAUCCGUAACUGGUCUGAGAGGAUGAUCAGUCACACUGGAACUGAGACACGGUCCAGACUCCUACGGGAGGCAGCAGUGGGGAAUAUUGGACAAUGGGCGCAAGCCUGAUCCAGCCAUGCCGCGUGUGUGAAGAAGGUCUUCGGAUUGUAAAGCACUUUAAGUUGGGAGGAAGGGCUGNGCACGAAUACUGUGCAGUUUUGACGUUACCGACAGAAUAAGCACCGGCUAACUCUGUGCCAGCAGCCGCGGUAAUACAGAGGGUGCAAGCGUUAAUCGGAAUUACUGGGCGUAAAGCGCGCGUAGGUGGUUCGCCAAGUUGGAUGU